AAAAUUUUAGCAUGGCCCCUGUGCAAGGAUGACAUGCAAAUUCGUGAAGCCUUCCAUAAUUUU
ensembl:snRNA U6 U6 spliceosomal RNA